GCCCGUGUAGCCCAACUGGCAGAGGCGCCGCACUCAGAAUGCGGAGGUUGAAGGUUCGACUCCUUCCACGGGCAC
rnacentral:tRNA from 1 species